GGGUGUGGAGGUGAUUUGGAUAUGACAUCUGUCACCUUAUUGAUCCCUGGGUUUGGUUUCACUGAUCUGGGUGGCUAGGCCAGUGUCCCUCCCCUCCAUCACUACUCCACAUGUGUCUCUCCUAAAGCUGCAUACUCAGGGCAAGAGUGCGACCUUCCUAAAUAGAGAACUUGUCUUCCAUCGAAUUAUAGGGAGUAGCUGUGCUCCUCUGCUAGAACCUCCAAACAAGCUCUUAAGGUCCAAACUUGAACGGUGUUCGACAACAGAUAAGUGGCUAAGAAAAUUGUGGCAUAUGUACACAAAGGAAUACUAU
rnacentral:snRNA from 1 species